UGCCAGCCGCCGCGGUAACACGGGGGGCGCAAGCGUUAUUCGGAAUUAUUGGCGUAAAGGGCGCGUAGGCGGCUAUUUAAGUCGGAUGUGAAAGCCCCGGGCUCAACCUGGGAACUGCACUCGAUACUGGAUAGCUAGAGUAUGGGAGAGGGUUGUGGAAUUCCACGUGUAGCGGUGAAAUGCGUAGAUAUGUGGAGGAACAUCAGUGGCGAAGGCGGCAGCCUGGCCCAAUACUGACGCUGAGGUGCGAAAGCGUGGGGAGCAAACAGGAUUAGAUA
rnacentral:rRNA from 1 species